ACAUCGGAACGUGUCCUGUAGUGGGGGAUAGCCCGGCGAAAGCCGGAUUAAUACCGCAUACGCUCUACGGAGGAAAGGGGGGGAUCUUAGGACCUCCCGCUACAGGGGCGGCCGAUGGCAGAUUAGCUAGUUGGUGGGGUAAAGGCCUACCAAGGCGACGAUCUGUAGCUGGUCUGAGAGGACGACCAGCCACACUGGGACUGAGACACGGCCCAGACUCCUACGGGAGGCAGCAGUGGGGAAUUUUGGACAAUGGGGGAAACCCUGAUCCAGCAAUGCCGCGUGUGUGAAGAAGGCCUUCGGGUUGUAAAGCACUUUUGUCCGGAAAGAAAACUUCGGGGUUAAUACCUCUGGAGGAUGACGGUACCGGAAGAAUAAGCACCGGCUAACUACGUGCCAGCAGCCGCGGUAAUACGUAGGGUGCAAGCGUUAAUCGGAAUUACUGGGCGUAAAGCGUGCGCAGGCGGUUCGUUAAGACAGAUGU
rnacentral:rRNA from 1 species